rnacentral:rRNA from 1 species
GUCCACGCCGUAAACGAUGGGCACUAGGUGCUUAGGGGAGCGACCCUCUGGGUACCGGCGCUAACGCAUGAAGUGCCCCGCCUGGGGAGUACGGCCGCAAGGCUGAAACUCAAAGGAAUUGACGGGGCCCGCACAAGCGGUGGAGCAUGUGGUUUAAUUCGACGCAACGCGCAGAACCUUACCUAGGCUUGACAUGCACGGGAAAGCUGCUGGAAACAGUGGCCCCUCUUCGGAGCCCCGUGCACAGGUGCUGCAUGGCUGUCGU